rnacentral:rRNA from 1 species
AACGAACGCUGGCGGCAUGCCUAACACAUGCAAGUCGAACGAGACCUUCGGGUCUAGUGGCGCACGGGUGCGUAACGCGUGGGAAUCUGCCCUUGGGUUCGGAAUAACUUCGGGAAACUGAAGCUAAUACCGGAUGAUGACGUAAGUCCAAAGAUUUAUCGCCCAAGGAUGAGCCCGCGUAGGAUUAGCUAGUUGGUGAGGUAAAGGCUCACCAAGGCGACGAUCCUUAACUGGUCUGAGAGGAUGAUCAGCCACACUGGAACUGAGACACGGCCCAGACUCCUACGGGAGGCAGCAGUGGGGAAUAUUGGACAAUGGGCGAAAGCCUGAUCCAGCAAUGCCGCGUGAGUGAUGAAGGCCUUAGGGUUGUAAAGCUCUUUACCCGUAGAUGAUAAUGACAGUAUCGGGAGAAUAAGCUCCGGCUAACUCCGUGCCAGCAGCCGCGGUAAUGU